rnacentral:rRNA from 1 species
GAUGAACGCUAGCGGCGUGCCUAAUACAUGCAAGUCGAACGGAGAGGUCUUGUAGCAAUACAGGCCUCUUAGUGGCGAACGGGUGAGUAACGCGUGGGUGACCUGCCCCAAAGAGGGGGAUAACAGUCCGAAAGGACUGCUAAUACCCCAUGUGGUCAACGGGUUUAGAAGCCGUUGACCAAAGGAGCAAUCCGCUUUGGGAGGGGCCCGCGUCCCAUCAGGUAGUUGGUAGGGUAACGGCCUACCAAGCCGAUGACGGGUAGGGGGCCUGAGAGGGUGGCCCCCCACAAUGGCACUGAAACACGGGCCAUACACCUACGGGUGGCAGCAGUAGGGAAUAUUGGACAAUGGGCGAAAGCCUGAUCCAGCAACGCCGCGUGCGCGAUGAAGGCCUUCGG